CACGUAGGGGGCGAGCGUUGUCCGGAUUUAUUGGGCGUAAAGAGCUCGUAGGCGGUUAGACAAGUCGGGUGUGAAAGCUCGAGGCUCAACCUCGAGACGCCACUCGAUACUGUUUUGACUGGAGUCCGGUAGAGGAGUGCGGAAUUCCUGGUGUAGCGGUGAAAUGCGCAGAUAUCAGGAGGAACACCGGUGGCGAAGGCGGCUUCCUGGACAAAAACUGACGCUGAGGCGCGAAAGCUAGGGGAGCAAACAGG
rnacentral:rRNA from 1 species